AACUAACAUCCAUUUACCAAACAGGGUCAUAUAUAUGGUGCAACACUAUGACCCUGUUUGGUAAAAUGGUUGUUAGCU
rnacentral:pre_miRNA from 1 species